rnacentral:rRNA from 1 species
UACGAAGGACCCGAGCGUUAUCCGGAUUCAUUGGGUUUAAAGGGUGCGUAGGCGGAGUGAUAAGUCAGUGGUGAAAUCCUGCAGCUUAACUGCAGAACUGCCAUUGAUACUGUCAUUCUUGAAUGCAACUGAUGUGGGCGGAAUGUGCCAUGUAGUGGUGAAAUACUUAGAUAUGGCACAGAACACCGAUUGCGAAGGCAGCUCACAAAAUUUGUUAUUGACGCUGAUGCACGAAAGCGUGGGGGAUCAAACAGG